CACAGCCGAUCGCCCCCGCUCCGGCCUCCCACACAGAUGGCUGUCAAGGUCGCCAUAAGGCAACCUAGUCCUUAUGGCGAUAGGAUAAAACGGCCAUAUUCAGAUUAUCCGCUGAGGGUGGAGAGGAAGUGGAAAAGUGUAUCAGAAGGCCAGAAGAAGAGAUCUUUAGGGGUAGGGGGAGAGGGGGAGAUAAUAAAAAUAGAUUUCCCUGUCAUUUGGAGCCAAUGGCGCGGCCUCCACUGUCGAGCUUUGAAACAACCUUGGAAAUAGUGGAGAAAAGCAAAAAAAAGGUGGAAAAAAUAAACUCUUGCUUCCCUUGGCAUGGGAUCAGUUUUGUGCCCCGAAUUUAAUCAGCUCUUGUGUCAGGGUUGCUACCGUUCCUUCAAAAAUGUUCCCCUUCCUGAAUAUUACUGGACGAUUUGGUGAAAAAAUAAGACACCCCCCCAACAAAAAAAAAAAGGCCCCCUUCCCCCUGGGACCUGGCUCCUCUCCCCUGAAGUCUUCUAGAUGCCAGGUAAUUAGAGUAUGAAUUAGCCAUUUGUUCUUUGGUCAGUACUGUGUGAGGUUUCCUCCUAGAUGCUGGGAAAAAAAACUGGAAAGAAGUCUUCAAAGCAAAAAUCUUACCCUCUAAUCUUAACAGUCUAAUGAUUGAGGGCAGAAAAGAUUGGAAAUGAGACGCCUUGAUUAGUGUAACUAGCUGCUGCAACACUGUGUGACCUUGGACAAGCAAAUUAACCUCUCAGAGGGGAUCUUUCAUUUCCUGAUUUAAAAGAGGACGUACUUAGUAGCUAGUCUAAGCUACUUGAGACUGAGGAAGGCAGGUAAUGCUCAGUACUGAAUUUUUAGAGGUUAGCAGGGCAUGUCUGCCCAAGUGGACCCUCAGUAAAUUAAUGAAUGAAGGCUCAGAAGGGCUAUAGUGAAGAUUAAAUGAUAUAAUGUCUGUAAAACGCCUGGUAAAUAUUUGAUCUUCAAAACAGCUAACUUCUGUUUCUGCUAAACAAAAUUAUUUAGAGCAAAUAUAGAUGUUAAGUGGUUUUGCCUCUCAGGUUAACUUUACACACAGGUUAGGAUUUAUCUUAGAGGAUUAUUAAUAACAGUUAUUUUGUAGUUAGAAUACUCCCUUAAUCCUUUUUCUGAAAAUUCAGAUCCUCUUUUUAUUUUAUUUCUGAGACAGUCUCGCUCUGGAGGCUGGGCGCAGUGGCUCA
rnacentral:lncRNA from 1 species